rnacentral:rRNA from 1 species
UGGUCUGGUGGUGGAAAGGGUUUCCGGCUGGGGAUGGGCCCGCGGCCUAUCAGCUUGUUGGUGGGGUAGUGGCCUACCAAGGCCACGACAGGUAGCCGGCCUGAGAGGGUGACCGGCCACACUGGGACUGAGACACGGCCCAGACUCCUACGGGAGGCAGCAGUGGGGAAUAUUGCGCAAUGGGCGGAAGCCUGACGCAGCGACGCCGCGUGGGGGAUGACGGCCUUCGGGUUGUAAACCUCUUUCAGCAGGGACGAAGCCGCGAGGUGACGGUACCUGCAGAAGAAGCACCGGCCAACUACGUGCCAGCAGCCGCGGUAAUACGUAGGGUGCAAGCGUUGUCCGGAAUUAUUGGGCGUAAAGAGCUCGUAGGCGGUUGGUCGCGUCGGCUGUGAAAUCCCGGAGCUCAACUCCGGGUCUGCAGUCGAUACGGGCCGACUUGAGUGUUGCAGGGGAGACUGGAAUUCCUGGUGUAGCGGUGAAAUGC